rnacentral:rRNA from 1 species
GAGUGCGUAAUAGCUCACUGGUCGAGUGACUCUGCGCCGAAAAUUUAACGGGGCUAAACUAUACACCGAAGCUUGGGAUACAUCUAAUGUAUGGUAGGAGAGCGUUCUGUAUGGGGAGAAGUCGUAGCGAAAGCGGCGGUGGACUAUACAGAAGUGAGAAUGCCGGAAUAAGUAGCGAGAAUUAAGUGAGAAUCUUAAUGGCCGAAAGUCUAAGGUUUUUGGAGGAAGGUUCGUCCGCUCCAAGUAAGUCGGGAGCUAAGGUCAGGCCGAAAGGCGUAGCCGAUGCACAUACGGUUGAUAUUCCGUAACCAUCUGUAAUUUAAGCAAAGGGACACUUCAAAAGGGUGUGACCCGGGCGUUGGUUGACCCGGGCGUAAGGGACCGAAAUUAGAGUAGGGAAGCACACUUAGCUGAAGGCGAGAAAAGCUUUGCGUAUAGAAACAGAUGCCCGUACCGCAAACCGACACAGGUGGACAGGAAGAGAAUUCUAAGGCCAGCGGGAGAAGGGUAGUUAAGGAACUCGGCAAAUUGACUCCGUAACUUCGGAAUAAGGAGUGCUCGAAAGAGCCGCAGAGAAUAGGCCCAGGCGACUGUUUAGCAAAAACACAGGUCUCUGCCAAAUCGAAAGAUGAAGUAUAGGGGCUGACACCUGCCCGGUGCCGGAAGGUUAAGAGGAGGAGUGAGAGCUCCGAAUUGAAGCCCCGGUAAACGGCGGCCGUAACUAUAACGGUCCUAAGGUAGCGAAAUUCCUUGUCGGGUAAGUUCCGACCCGCACGAAUGGUGUAACGAUCUGGGCACUGUCUCAACUACCCACCCGGCGAAAUUGUAGUACCGGUGAAGAUGCCGGUUACCUGCGGCAAGACGGAAAGACCCCAUGGAGCUUUACUGUAGCCUGAUAUUGGGUUUCGGAAAUCUAUGUACAGGAUAGGCGGGAGACUGGGAAACAUGAGCGUCAGCUUGUGUGGAGUCGAUGUUGGGAUACCGCCCUUAGGUUUCUGGAAUUCUAACCUGCGGCCGUGAAUCCGGUCGGGGGACAUUGUCAGGUGGGCAGUUUGACUGGGGCGGUCGCCUCCGAAAAGGUAACGGAGGCGCUCAAAGGUUAGCUCAGCACGGACGGAAACCGUGCCUCUGAGUGUAAACGCAAAAGCUAGCCUAACUGCGAGGGUGACGGCCCGAGCAGUAACGAAAGUUGGAGUUAGUGAUCCGGCGG